rnacentral:rRNA from 1 species
UUAACCUAGAUAGUAACACAACCCCCACUAUCCGCCAGAGAAUUACAAGCAAAAAGCUUAAAACUCAAAGGACUUGACGGUGUCCCACAUCAACCUAGAGGAGCCUGUCCUAUAAUCGAUGAUCCACGUUACACCUCACCCACCCUAGCACUACUGUCAGCCUAUAUACCGCCGUCUCCAGCUUACCUUAUGAUAGCCAACACAGUCAGCACAACAGGUCCGCCCCUAAAACGUCAGGUCAAGGUGUAGCUAACGGGUGGGCAGUGAUGGGCUACAUUUUCUACGCCAGAAAACCACCAACCCUGCCAUGAAACAGCACCACAAGGAGGAUUUAGCAGUAAUUCAAGCAAGACAUGCCUGACUGAAACC